CAAUUGGUACCUUAAUAUAAUAGUUCGUUGUUUUUAUUUUAAGAUUUAUUCUCUAUCUAUGACUUAUGCUAUGCAGUGAAGGGCCAGGGUGUUUAUAAUGAUGCUGUGCAUUACCAAAAGCACUGUGUGUUGGACCAGGUCUGAUUAAUGCAUACAAACUAUAGUUAAUAUAUGACUGAUGGUGGUCUCUUUUUGCAUAAUUGCUGGCUUUACUUUCUCUUAAAUCAAUAGGGUGUUUAAAGAUGAUUAGAUCUAAAUGUACUACUGAAAUGCCCCACUUAAUGCCUUAGCUACCCCAUCUUAACUGGGCUCUCUACUUUCACCUGUUUCUAUCCUCUUUUUUUUUCUUCAGGUUAACUUUUUUACCACCUGGGAUCUCUGUCAAAUUCAGCAGCAGGCAGGAAUGGGCAAAAUCUUGAAAUACCAGACAAUCCUACUGAAAGGUGUCAAUGAAGGAUCAAAAAAGGUAAAAAGCAUGGGGAUUGUAGUUGUAGAAAAGAAAAUGUACAGAAGCUAAAAAAGGUAGCUGCCACUACUAGUUCACCUUAAAAACUCAACUAUUAUUCAUUUUGGUAAAACAUGUUAUAACAUUUUAAGAAGUAUUAAUGGACUAGAAAUGAUAGCUCAGACAAAUACUCUUUUAUGAUUUAAGACUGUUAAAUUAAUCUUUUAUUUGUAGUGUACCAAAACCUUAGAAAGACAGAGUUUAUGGGGUAUGGGUGGAUGGGGGGGGGGGGUCCCUCCUAUUUUAUUUUUUUUGCCUUAUUGAAAUAACUCACCAAUAUUUUGGACUGACUAGUCAUAGGAGGAGGCUAAAGAUUAUGAGUUUGGAAAUCUAUUUCCAUUCAUUUAGGGCGGUGGGGAAUUGAGAUUUGUUCGAGUCCUUUCACAUGGGAGAAAAGGUUGUCAUGUUGGGUCCCUUCCAACUAAGCUUUCUUCAUUCCCUCCUUCUCUUCCUUUAUUUUAUAUAUAAUUAGUGGAGAAAAAGUGGAAUAUUUUUGUUAAAAGAGUUGGCAAUUACUACUUUUCUUAAUCCUUUAACUAGUUAAAUGUUUUUUGUAUUAAAUUGACUAUUAAACUGUAUUAAUACUAGGGCUUGCUGUGGUUGUUAUCAUAAUAUUUAUGUAUUUUAAUCGAUUUUUCGUUUAUGUUAGAA